rnacentral:rRNA from 1 species
GACGAACGCUGGCGGCGUGCUUAACAAAUGCAAUUCGAACGAAGAGGCCCACGGGUGAGAAAUACUUGCGUACCCUGCCCUCCUUUUUGGGAUAGGCCUUGGAAACGGGGUCUACUACCGAAUAAAGGGUGAUGGGCUCUCGACCUAUCAGCUUGUUGGUGGGGUGAUGGCGUCCCAAGGCGGUGACGGGUAGCCGGCCUAGGGGGGUGCCCUGCCACAUGGGGCCUGAGAUACUGCCCAGAUUCCUACUGGAGGAAGCGGUGGGGGAUAUGGCACAAUGUGCGAAAGCCUGAUGCAGCGACGCCGCGUGGGGGAUGAAGGCUUUCGGGUUGUAAACCUCUUUCGCUAUCGAACGGGUAGGUGGAGAAGAAGCGCCGGCUAACUACGUGCCAGCAGCCGCGGUAAUAC